CAGGACGAACGCUGGCGGCGUGCUUAACACAUGCAAGUCGAGCGAUGAAGCUCCUUCGGGAGUGGAUUAGCGGCGGACGGGUGAGUAACACGUGGGUAACCUGCCUCAUAGAGGGGAAUAGCCUUUCGAAAGGAAGAUUAAUACCGCAUAAGAUUGUAGUACCGCAUGGUACAGCAAUUAAAGGAGUAAUCCGCUAUGAGAUGGACCCGCGUCGCAUUAGCUAGUUGGUGAGGUAACGGCUCACCAAGGCGACGAUGCGUAGCCGACCUGAGAGGGUGAUCGGCCACAUUGGGACUGAGACACGGCCCAGACUCCUACGGGAGGCAGCAGUGGGGAAUAUUGCACAAUGGGGGGAAACCCUGAAUGCAGCAACGCCGCGUGAGUGAUGACGGCCUUCGGGUUGUAAAACUCUGUCUUUGGGGACGAUAAUGACGGUACCCAAGGAGGAAGCCACGGCUAACUACGUGCCAGCCGCCGC
rnacentral:rRNA from 1 species